rnacentral:rRNA from 1 species
CUGGAGAAUAGCCCGAAGAAAUUCGGAUUAAUGCUCCAUAAUAUCAAGAGAAUGCAUAUUCUUUUGAUUAAAGCUCCGGCGGUUAAAGAUGGGCAUGCGUGCCAUUAGCUUGUUGGUGAGGUAACGGCUCACCAAGGCAACGAUGGCUAGGGGUUCUGAGAGGAUGAUCCCCCACACUGGUACUGAGACACGGACCAGACUCCUACGGGAGGCAGCAGUGAGGAAUAUUGGUCAAUGGGCGAAAGCCUGAACCAGCCAUGCCGCGUGCAGGAUGACGGCGCUAUGCGUUGUAAACUGCUUUUCUGCUCCAAGAACCCCCCGAUCGUGAUCGGGGUUGACGGUAGAGCAGGAAUAAGCAUCGGCUAACUCCGUGCCAGCAGCCGCGGUAAUACGGAGGAUGCAAGCGUUAUCCGGAUUUAUUGGGUUUAAAGGGUGCGUAGGCGGGAUAAUAAGUCAGUGGUGAAAUCCUGCGGCUUAACCGUAGAAUUGUCAUUGAUACUGUUAUUCUUGAGUUCAGUUGAGGUGGGCGGAAUGUAUAAUGUAGCGGUGAAAUGCUUAGAUAUUAUACAGAACACCGAUUGCGAAGGCAGCUCACUAAGCUGAUACUGACGCUGAGGCACGAAAGCGUGGGGAGCGAACAGGAUUAGAUACCCUGGUAGUCCACGCUGUAAACGAUGAUCACUCGCUGUUGGCAAUACAUCGUCAGCGGCUGAGCGAAAGCAUUAAGUGAUCCACCUGGGGAGUACGUCGGCAACGAUGAAACUCAAAGGAAUUGACGGGGGCCCGCACAAGCGGUGGAAACAUGUGGUUUAAUUCGAUGAUACGCGAGAACCCUUACCCUGGGCUUAAAUGCAGAACGACGGUUCCCGAAAGGGAUCUUCUUCGGACGGACUGCAAGGUGCUGCAUGGUUGUCGUCAGCUCGUGCCGUGAGGUGUCGGGUUAAGUCCCAUACGAGCGCACCCCUAUUGUUAGUUGCCAGCGAGUAAUGUCGGGGACUCUAACGAAACUGCCGGUGUAAACCGAGAGGAAGGUGGGGAUGACGUCAAAUCAGCACGGCCCUUAUGUCCAGGGCUACACACGUGUUACAAUGGACGAUACAGAGGGAAGCUACUUGGCGACAAGAUGCUAAUCUCGAAAAUCGUUCUUAGUUCGGAUUGGAGUCUGCAACUCGACUUCAUGAAGCUGGAAUCGCUGGUAAUCGCACAUCAGCCAUGGUGCGGUGAAUACGUUCCCGGGC